GACGAACGCUGGCGGCGUGCUUAACACAUGCAAGUCGAACGGAAAGGCCCCCACCUUGGUGGGGGUGCUCGAGUGGCGAACGGGUGAGUAACACGUGGGUGAUCUGCCCUGUACUUCGGGAUAAGCUUGGGAAACUGGGUCUAAUACCGGAUAGGACCAUGGUUUAGUGUCUCAUGGUGGAAAAAUUAUUGUUUUGGUGCAGGAUGAGCUCGCGGCCUAUCAGCUUGUUGGUGGGGUAAUGGCCUACCAAGGCGUCGACGGGUAGCCGGCCUGAGAGGGUGGACGGCCACAGUGGGACUGAGAUACGGCCCAGACUCCUACGGGAGGCAGCAGUGGGGAAUAUUGCACAAUGGGCGCAAGCCUGAUGCAGCGACGCCGCGUGGGGGAUGACGGCCUUCGGGUUGUAAACUCCUUUCGUUAGGGACGAAGCCACACCUUUUUGGGGUGUGGUGACGGUACCUUUGUUAAGAAGCACCGGCUAACUACGUG
rnacentral:rRNA from 1 species